UGGUGUUGAUUGACUUGUGCAAAGUUAUUGAGAUUUGAUCUCAAUAUUUUUUCUUUUAUUUUUUAGAUUAUAUGCAUAUCAUAGAUCUAGGAGCUCAGGUAAUAUAGAUUAAAUCUAUUACAUAUGGGGUUAAAGGGAUUUAAACUAGAUCUGUCUUUCACUGCGAUCAAAAAUUAUUUUGAAAUUCAUACAUGCAACC
rnacentral:lncRNA from 1 species